AGUGAUCGAAAAUUGGCUUCAUGGAAGGAGGCAAAGGAUGAUGAUGAAAGGUUGCUUCGCGGACUGGAGGACUGUGACUAUUGGUGUGCCUCAGGGUUCGGUGCUGGGCCCGUUACUGUUUGUCAUCUACAUCAAUGAUUUGGAUGAGGACGUGCAGGGCAAGAUUAGCAAGUUUGCUGUUGAUACAAAAGUUUGUGGUUUUGAAGAUAGUGAAGAUGGUUGUGAAAGAUUGCAGCAGGAUCUGGAUCGAUUGGCCAGGUGGGCGAAGGAAAGGUUGUUGGAAUUUA